CGAAGCGCUUUUUGCCGAAGCCAACUCCGGUGCCGAAGCCAACGCCAGUGCCGAAGCCAACUCCAAGGACGAAGCCACCGCCGUCGCCGUCGAAGACACCGCCGUCAAAGCCACCACCGUCGAAGUCUCCGCCACCGCCCAAGUCUCCGCCGCCUUCAAAAUCUCCCCCGCCGCCCAAGUCUCCUUCUCCGCCGCCGCCUAAGUCUCCGCCACCGAAUGCUCCUCCGCCGAAUGCACCCAAGUCUCCUCCGCCGAAUGCACCCAAGUCUUCUCCGCCGAAGGCUCCGCGACCGAAUGCUCCGCCCCCUAGGUCUCCGCCGUCGGAUGCUCCGCCUCCCAAGUCUCCACCACCGGAUGCUUUGCCUCCGUCGCCGAAUGAUGUGGUACGGAUAUACGUACUA
rnacentral:lncRNA from 1 species